GAUGAACGCUGGCGGCGUGCCUAACACAUGCAAGUCGAACGGAAAGGCCCUGCUUGCACGUUACUCGAGUGGCGAACGGGUGAGUAACACGUGGGUGAUCUGCCCUGCACUUCGGGAUAAGCCUGGGAAACUGGGUCUAAUACGGGAAAGGCGCCAUUUUUAGUGUGAUGGUUGGAAAGUUUUUUCGGUGUAGGAUGAGCUGGCGGCCUAUCAGCUUGUUGGUGGGGUAAUGGCCUACCAAGGCGGCGGCGGGUAGCAGGCCUGAGAGGGUGGACGGCCACCUUGGCACUGAGAGACGGCCCAGGCUCCUACGAGGGGCAGCAGGGGGGAAUAUUGCACAAUGGGCGCAGGGCGGAUGCAGCAAGUCCGCGUGGGGGAUGACAGCCUAAGGGUUGUGGACUGCUUUCGAUAGGGACGAAGCUUGUUGUGACGGUACCUAGAGAAGAAGCACCGGCUAACUACGUG
rnacentral:rRNA from 1 species